rnacentral:lncRNA from 10 species
GAUCCAUGCACCCUCUGUCUAAUCCUCUGCGAUGGGGCCAGUCUGCAGAUCCGUCUGGGCGGGCUGCGGUAGCAUUCUCCACCUGCCAACACUCAGUUGCUGGUGAGUAACCAGCAUACGGACUCUCACUUCCUAGAUGACGCCUUGCUGUGUUGCCCAGGGUGGUCUCUAAUUCCUGGCCUUUAGCAAUUCUCCCGCCUUGGCCUCCUAAAGCACUGGGGUUACAGGCAUGAACCACUGUGCCCAGCCUGCAUGAUGUAAUCUCCAAAUUGAGGGCAGGAGAGAGAGUGGUCUCACAACGGAAGGGCACCAGCCACUGAGAAGUCCUAAGGCCGUGUUUGAGUUCUGGCUCAUCUUUUUUGCUAAUUUGCUCUUAUGCAUAUCACCCAACCUCGCUAAGCCAGUUUCAUCAUCAGCGAGAACAGCACACUGACAUGCAGGGCCAGCUCAGGCGCUACCACAAGCUACACAUCCGUCCAUUCGUUUAAUCUUCACAGCAGCCCUGGAGAAGACAAGAGUCAGGGACCUGGAAGAAUUCUGUCGUAUAAUAACCCACUUUUAAAAGGCACCCCUGUAUCACGAUCCUUCCUGACAUAUACCGGUGUAUAUAUCAAAUGGUUUUGGUUCCUGCAAAUAUUCUUCCAUCAAAUGUUCAGAGAAGGGCUAUUUUGAGAAAGAUUUAAUGGGAUUUGUAACAUAAAACCUCAAAUGAAUACUGAGUUAACUAAGACAACUCUGGAACACAAAGCGUGGUUGUUAUAACCUUGCUUUUUCUGGUGACUAUAAUUGAAUCCAAGAAUCUAAUAAAAUAGUCUCUCAUGCCAGAAAGAAACCCAAGAAGGUAUGUCCUCAGAAAAUUUAGUCUGAAGUUGGUCAAUUCUUAGGCAGUCACUCUACGUGAUCAGAACUUUAUUAGUGAGCUUUUGGCCUUGCAGGAUUGAUGUUUGCUACAGAGAUCUUGGCUUGCUCCUAAGGAGAGUUCUGUGACACUGUGAAAUAGCCCCUUUUCUCUGAAAAGCAUAAGGUGUUACUCUUCAUUGAGAAAAUCCUAGAGUUGUGAUCCACGCAUUAUACUUGUGAGUCUUUCUCAUGUGUGUGCAAAACAUACACACGUUCAGUAAGGCACGGUGCAAGAUUAAUAUGUUCACAUACACAAGAGCCUUUCUGGAAUUCAGAAACCUGAAAUUGGGGAAUGGCGUGAGCCGAAGUGAGACAGGAAGGAAGAGGUGGCAGUUCAGCAGUUUUGAACUUCUGACUGUGAUUCCGAAUCCUUUUUUAAAAAAGGAUUUUGUAGCACUGACCCCAAAGGCAGCACAAACACGUUGGUGAGUGUGCAUUAAUCGAGGCCAUUGAGGAUGUUAUUUUCUCCUUUAAGACCCUGACCAGAAGCUGAAUAUGCCAGCAGCAAAUGCAGGCAGUGCUGCUGUUCCCUUCACAGUCCUCGGAGGCAGUGAAGCCUGUGCUUGAGACGCGCAGGGCGGAGUGCUUGUUUUGGAGAGCAUUCAGCGGAUAGCAUUUGGUUUCCUCCAUUUAACCAG